rnacentral:rRNA from 1 species
UACGAAGGGGGCUAGCGUUGCUCGGAAUGACUGGGCGUAAAGGGCGCGUAGGCGGAUGGCACAGUCAGAUGUGAAAUUCCCGGGCUUAACCUGGGGGCUGCAUUUGAUACGUGUUGUCUUGAGUUCGGAAGAGGGUCGUGGAAUUCCCAGUGUAGAGGUGAAAUUCGUAGAUAUUGGGAAGAACACCGGUGGCGAAGGCGGCGACCUAGUCCGACACUGACGCUGAGGCGCGAAAGCGUGGGGAGCAAACAGG